rnacentral:rRNA from 3 species
AACUUUCAACAACGGAUCUCUUGGCUCUCGCAUCGAUGAAGAACGCAGCGAAAUGCGAUAAGUAAUGUGAAUUGCAGAUUUUCAGUGAAUCAUCGAAUCUUUGAACGCACCUUGCGCCCCUUGGUAUUCCGAGGGGCAUGCCUGUUUGAGUGUCAUUA